rnacentral:rRNA from 1 species
UACGUAGGAGGCAAGCGUUGUCCGGAUUUACUGGGCGUAAAGCGUGCGCAGGCGGUCUGUUAAGACCGAUGUGAAAUCCCCGGGCUUAACCUGGGAACUGCAUUGGUGACUGGCAGGCUUUGAGUGUGGCAGAGGGAGGUAGAAUUCCACGUGUAGCAGUGAAAUGCGUAGAGAUGUGGAGGAAUACCGAUGGCGAAGGCAGCCUCCUGGGCCAACACUGACCGCUCGAUGCACGAAAGCGUGGGGAGCAAACAG